rnacentral:rRNA from 1 species
UACAGAGGUCUCAAGCGUUGUUCGGAUUCAUUGGGCGUAAAGGGUGCGUAGGCGGCGCGGUAAGUCGGGUGUGAAAUCUCGGGGCUUAACUCCGAAACUGCAUUCGAUACUGCCGUGCUUGAGGACUGGAGAGGAGAUCGGAAUUCACGGUGUAGCAGUGAAAUGCGUAGAUAUCGUGAGGAAGACCAGUGGCGAAGGCGGAUCUCUGGACAGCUCCUGACGCUGAGGCGCGAAGGCUAGGGGAGCAAACGGG